UGGUUCCAUCUCUCUGUUGAUGUAUAUUAUGUUUUCAAUUUCAAACAAUAGCUAAUGAUUCUAUGAUGAUUCUUCGACUGCCUUGCUGCUCCUCCGAAGAUCUCCAAUCUCUUCCAGGUUAGUAAACUACAAAAGGAAAAAGAAUCAGAGAUGUAGAGAUGUGUUGUUGAUCUACAAUAUCAGAGUGGAAUCAAAAUCCUCAUCUUCAUCUUCAUCUUCCGACUUGAUACAGAGCCGGUGUGGGAUCUGAGUUUGUUCUUCAUCUAGGGUUUUGAUGAUGAGAGCAAUUGUGUGAUGAGCUUGCCUUGCUCUCAAGAAAUCGGGUUCCGUUGCGAGCGGAGAGACAACUGCUUUGUUGUUGUUUAGACUCAACCAGAAGAGAACCGUCAUUGGAGCUGUGACAGUGGCGUACGAAUGGGGAUUCAAGUCAGCGAUGGUGGUUGUGGCUUUGAGUAGAGGUUCGACUAUUCAUCAGCAAGUUAUUAAAGAAUUUUCAUGGUCAUUUUGUUUGGUGAGAUGUGCAAGUUAUAAGAUGUGCAGGUAUUAG
rnacentral:lncRNA from 1 species